CUGCGGAAGGAUCAUUAUAGUAUAAUCAAGGAGUACUUUGGCUGUCGCUGACCUUUUCUCAAAGGUCGUGCACGCCCUAGUGCUCUUCUAAUAUCCAUCUCACCCCUUUGUGCAUCACCGCGUGGGCCCUCUUUGCAUUGUUCUGAGGGGGUUUGCGUUUUUACACAUACAAUAUCCUAUGCAUGUUAUAGAAUGCCUUUACUUUAUUUAUACAACUUUCAACAACGGAUCUCUUGGCUCUCGCAUCGAUGAAGAACGCAGCGAAAUGCGAUACGUAAUGUGAAUUGCAGAAUUCAGUGAAUCAUCGAAUCUUUGAACGCACCUUGCGCCCCUUGGUAUUCCGAGGGGCACACCCGUUUGAGUGUCGUGACAUUCUCAACCUUUCUCAGUUUGUCAACUGAAGAAGGCUUGGACUUUGGGGGUUUUUUAUUUGCUGGCCUCCUUUGAAGCCAGCUCCUCCUAAAUGAAUUAGUGGGGUUCGCUUUGCAUAUCCUUGACGUGAUAACAUCUUUCUACGUCUUGGUUUUCGCACCGUACACCUUGCUUCUAAUUGUCUUGUAAAAGACAAUGUUCAUAUAAACCUUGACCUCAAAUCGGGUGAGACU
rnacentral:rRNA from 1 species